AUGUCGAAUCCAUCCUUGCACAGCUGCGGCGUCGACUUGGUCACAGGCCUCCUCCAUUGCUUGAAUGAGGGGUAUAACAUAGGGUCAGAGAUCAUAAACCUUCCACUGCCAUGCAGAAGGGGAAAAGGAAAGGAAGGGAGAGGAAGAGGAAAAGGGAGAAACAACUUUGGCCAGAGAGCUCUUUUGAAUGUCCCGGGUCAACGUGGUGGUAACAUCACAAUAUAUGCUGCAAUAACACAGAAUGGGGUCCUCCACUGCCAUGCCAAAAUAGGUCCUUACAACACCGACCACAUACCUUUUUAGACAGACUAAGCAGUGGACAGUCUGGUGACUCACUGCUCAGUAUUUUCUCACUUUGUUUCCUUUGUAUUUCAUUAUUUGUAUUUGAUAUUAUACCAGGGAAUUUAAAGUUUGCUGAAGUCAAUAAUGUAUCCAGUCAUUAUGUUUGCAAAGGGCUCACUUUUAAAGAACAGCUUUACUUGAGGAUCUUGCAUCACACCUGUCUGCAUCUUAAAGCUAUCAGUGAGACAGACAGUCGAGGUAAAAUAACCACCUUCCCCAGUCGUGACUCUUUGUCUUGUGGUUGUAUUUGCAUGAGUAAACAGCAGAAAUGUUCCUCAAGGUGAGGUAGUGUAAAAUUACAUACACAGACUGUAAGCAGUAAAUAUGAGGCCAUUGUAAUGUUCAAUGUCAAUUCAUCUUCACAGUCAGCAGGGUUAUUAUAGAUAACUAAAACUGAAACCUUGUAAUAAACUGUAAUAAAAUGAAGUGUAUAAAAAACAUAAACAUGUUAAGUUUCAUAGAGUUGCCAAGGAAAUAUGUAUCACUUUCAUUUAGUAUAACUUGAUGUACUAAAACUAAAAAUGAAACAAAAAUGAAUAAAAAAAAAAUACAAAAACAAAAAAUUACUAAAAGUUGUCAGUGAUACUAAACACUGAUUGUAAAAAGACUCUUUUUUUAAAAUAUUUUUGUCCCCAUGUUUUUGCAGAUUCAUUGACCAAACAGAAAAAAGAAAUACACAUUAAUCCACAAAAUAAAUACACUGUGUUCAUAACACUGCAGUUAUUCUGAAGGCUAAGUAAAUGACCUGCAUUAUCUCACAUUGUCACACCCCUGGACCAUUUAUGUGUGUUUUUUGCCCCCUGUGACCCAGUUUCUGUUUCCCGUGUUUGGUUAAUUUGAUUCCAGGUGUCUAGUUUCUUUCCCAUGUGUUCCAUGUCC
ensembl:lncRNA